rnacentral:tRNA from 1 species
GAAGGUAUAGCUCAAGUGGUAGAGCUCAUGCUUAGCAUGCACAAGGUCCUGGGUUCAAUCCCCAGUACCUCCU